GGUCAAGUUAUUAAGGGUGCAGGGCGGAUGCCUUGGCACUAGGAGCCGAUGAAGGACGUGAUAAGCUGCGAUAAGCUUCGGGGAGUUGCACGUAAACUUUGAUCCGAAGAUUUCCGAAUGAGGAAACUCACUUAGAGUAAUGUCUAAGUAUCAUUAAGUGAAUACAUAGCUUAAUGAGGGGAACUCAGGGAACUGAAACAUCUAAGUACCUGAAGGAAGAGAAAGAAAUUCGAUUCCGUAAGUAGCGGCGAGCGAACGCGGAUUAGCCCAAACCAAUAAAGUUUUCUUUAUUGGGGUUGCGGACAUAUCAUAACGAAGAGGUAUCGUAAUUGAAGAGGUUUGGAAAGACCCACCACAGAAGGUAAUAGUCCUGUAUGUUAAACGAGAAGACUUCAGAUAUGAUCCAGAGUACCACGGGACACGUGAAACCCUGUGGGAAGCAGGAGGGACCACCCUCCAAGGCUAAAUACUACCUAGUGACCGAUAGCGUAUAGUACCGUGAGGGAAAGGUGAAAAGAACCCCGGGAGGGGAGUGAAAUAGAACCUGAAACCCUGCACUUACAAGCUGUGGAAGCACAUUUCUUGUGUGACCGCGUACUUUUUGUAGAACGGGCCAACGAGUUACGUUAAGUAGCAAGGUUAAGCACUUAAGGUGUGGAGCCGUAGCGAAAGCGAGUUUUAACUGAGCGUUCAGUUACUUGACGUAGACCCGAAACCGGGCGACCUACCCAUGAGCAGGAUGAAGCGAAAGUAAAAUUUCGUGGAGGUCCGAACCCACGAGCGUUGAAAAGCUCGGGGAUGACUUGUGGGUAGCGGUGAAAUUCCAAUCGAGCCCGGAGAUAGCUGGUUCUCCCCGAAAUAGCUUUAGGGCUAGCCUCAAGGUGAGAGAUACGGAGGUAGAGCACUGAAUGUCCUAGGGGGUAUUGCACCUACCGAAGACUAUCAAACUCCGAAUGCCGUCAUCUUAUACUUGGGAGUCAGACUGUGGGUGAUAAGAUUCAUAGUCGAAAGGGCAACAGCCCAGAUCGUCAGCUAAGGUCCCUAAAUGUAAGUUAAGUGGUAAAGGAUGUGGGAUUGCACAGACAACCAGGAUGUUGGCUUAGAAGCAGCCACUCAUUCAAAGAGUGCGUAAUAGCUCACUGGUCGAGUGAUCCUGCGCCGAAGAUUUCCGGGGCUAAAACUUACUACCGAAGCUACGGCAUCAGUAAUGAUGGGUAGGGGAGCUUCCCAUACGGGUUGAAGCAUGACCGUAAGGACAUGUGGACAGUAUGGGAGUGAGAAUGUUGGCAUGAGUAGCGAGAUGUGGGUGAGAAUCCCACAGGCCGUAAACCCAAGGUUUCCAGGGGAAGGUUCGUCCGCCCUGGGUUAGUCGGGACCUAAGCUGAGGCCGAAAGGCGUAGGUGAUGGACAACAGGUUGAUAUUCCUGUACUACCGAUAACCGUUUGAGAGAAGGGAUGACACAGUAGGAUAAGCUAAGCACACUGUUGGUUAUGUGUGCCCAAGCAUUGAGGCAGUCAAAGUAGGCAAAUCCGCUUUGAUAAUGCUGGGAUGUGAUGGGGAGCGAAAUUUA
rnacentral:rRNA from 1 species